AUGCGGCACUUGGCUGCUGAGCUUGACCUUGGGCUGGAGUUGGAAUUGUUGUCUCAGAAUGGGGUGGAGGGUGAGCUGCACUGUCAUUGGGUGGCUCACUUGGAAGUUGAGGGAGCAUCAUGGGCUGGGUUGGAGAAAGUUCCACCUCUUCAGGAGGAUCUGGAGGAGGAGAUGCAGCUGGUGGCAGUGCAGGAGAUGGUUCUUCCUCCUCUGCAGGCUGAGGUGAUGUCCUCUGCUGAGCUUGAGAAGGUUCCAUUUUGUGACCUUGGGCUGGAGUUGGAAUUGUUGUCUCAGAAUGGGGAGGGUGAGCUGCACUGUCAUUGGGUGGCUCACUUGGAAGCUGAGGGAGCAUCAUGGGCUGGGUUGGAGAAAGUUCCACCUCUUCAGGAGGAUCUGGAGGAGGAGAUGCAGCUGGUGGCAGUGCAGGAGAUGGUUCUUCCUCCUCUGCAGGCUGAGGUGAUGUCCUCUGCUGAGCUUGAGAAGGUUCCAUUUUGUUGGGUGGCUCUGAAAGUAGAGCUGCAUCCUCCUCCUAGGGGACUGAAAAUGGUUCUGUGUCCUCAGGUGGCUCUGAAGGCUGGGGAAAAUGCUACUCUUUCUGUCAACAAAAGAGAAAGAGUAACCUUCUCAGGGAGUACUGAAGACAGAGCUGCAAGCUUUUGCUGCACUGGUGAAACUGCUACACCAGAGGAGCCUGGGGGCAUAGGUACAGUUUAGCACACUGGUUUGGUAUGUGUGGUUUAACUUCACUUGCAGAAUGCACCAUGAGAGCACAAAGGAAAGCGUGUAUCUUGUGCUCACCCGAACCGGG
rnacentral:lncRNA from 1 species